rnacentral:rRNA from 1 species
AUUGAACGCUGGCGGCAGGCCUAACACAUGCAAGUCGGACGGUAGCACAGAGAGCUUGCUCUCGGGUGACGAGUGGCGGACGGGUGAGUAAUGUCUGGGGAUCUGCCCGAUAGAGGGGGAUAACCACUGGAAACGGUGGCUAAUACCGCAUAACGUCGCAAGACCAAAGAGGGGGACCUUCGGGCCUCUCACUAUCGGAUGAACCCAGAUGGGAUUAGCUAGUAGGCGGGGUAACGGCCCACCUAGGCGACGAUCCCUAGCUGGUCUGAGAGGAUGACCAGCCACACUGGAACUGAGACACGGUCCAGACUCCUACGGGAGGCAGCAGUGGGGAAUAUUGCACAAUGGGCGCAAGCCUGAUGCAGCCAUGCCGCGUGUAUGAAGAAGGCCUUCGGGUUGUAAAGUACUUUCAGCGGGGAGGAAGGCGAUGUGGUUAAUAACCGCGUCGAUUGACGUUACCCGCAGAAGAAGCACCGGCUAACUCCGUGCCAGCCGCCGCGGUAA